AAGUCGUAACAAGGUCUCCGUUGGUGAACCAGCGGAGGGAUCAUUAUCGAGUUCUACGCUCAAAACCCCCUGUGAACAUACCUAUUACAGUUGCUUCGGCGGGUUGCCGGGCUCGCCCUCGUGCGCUUCUGCGCCCAGGGCGACCUGGCCGCCUCAGACCGGCCCGCCGGAGGUCUCAAACUCAACGUCUACGCUUUUGCAUUGGAAUCUGAGUGUAAAAAAAAUAAGUUAAAACUUUCAACAAUGGAUCUCUUGGUUCUGGCAUCGAUGAAGAACGCAGCGAAAUGCGAUAAGUAAUGUGAAUUGCAGAAUUCAGUGAAUCAUCGAAUCUUUGAACGCACAUUGCGCCCGCCGGUAUUCCGGCGGGCAUGCCUGUCCGAGCGUCAUCUCACCACUCAAGCCCAGCUUGGUGUUGGCCGACGCGGGUACAGCGGGCCAGCCACCGCCCCCGGGCGUGGCGGGCCCGCCCGCGCGGCUCAAAUACAGCGGCGGAACGGUGUCGAGUUUCCCCUACGCGGUAGCAUAAUCUCGUAUCGGAUGACCUUCCCGUCUCAGCCCACAACCAACGGGGGUCCCGGCCCCCAUCAAGGUUUGACCUCGGAUCAGGUAGGAAUACCCGCUGAACUUAAGCAUAUCAAUAAGCGGAGGAAAAGAAACCAACAGGGAUUGCCCCAGUAACGGCGAGUGAAGCGGCAACAGCUCAAAUUUGAAAUCUGGCCCUUGGGUCCGAGUUGUAAUUGGCAGAGGAUGCUUUUGGCGAGGGUCUUUCCAAGUUCCUUAGAAUAGGACGCCGCAGAGGGUGAGAGCCCCGUACGGUUAGCCCCCGAGCCUGUGUAAAGCUCCCUCAACGAGUCGAGUAGUUUGGGAAUGCUGCUCUAAUUGGGAGGUAAAUUUCUUCUAAAGCUAAAUACCGGCCAGAGACCGAUAGCGCACAAGUAGAGUGAUCGAAAGAUGAAAAGCACUUUGAAAAGAGGGUGAAACAGUACGUGAAAUUGUUGAAAGGGAAGCGCUUGUGACCAGACCUGCGUCCGGCGAAUCACCCAGCCCCGGCUGGUGCACUUCUCCGGCGUAGGCCAGCACCGGUUUACCGCGGGGGAAAAAGACGGUGGGAAUGUGGCUCCUCUGGAGUGUUAUAGCCCGCCGUGUAAUGCCCUGGGGUGGACCGAGGUACGCGCUCUGCAAGGGUGCUGGCGUAAUGGUCAUCAGCGGC
rnacentral:rRNA from 1 species